CCUACGGGAGGCAGCAGUGAGGAAUAUUGGUCAAUGGACGAGAGUCUGAACCAGCCAAGUAGCGUGAAGGAUGACUGCCCUAUGGGUUUUAAACUUCUUUUAUAUGGGAAUAAAAUGUUCCACGUGUGGGAUUUUGUAUGUACCAUAUGAAUAAGGAUCGGCUCACUCCGUGCCAGCAGCCGCGGUAAUACGGAGGCUCCGAGCGUUAUCCGGAUUUAUUGGGUUUAAAGGGAGCGUAGGUGGAUUGUUAAGUCAGUUGUGAAAGUUUGCGGCUCAACCGUAAAAUUGCAGUUGAAACUGGCAGUCUUGAGUACAGUAGAGGUGGGCGGAAUUCGUGGUGUAGCGGUGAAAUGCUUAGAUAUCACGAAGAACUCCGAUUGCGAAGGCAGCUCACUGGACUGCAACUGACACUGAGGCUCGAAAGUGUGGGUAUCAAACGGGAUUAGAUACCCGGGUAGUC
rnacentral:rRNA from 1 species